rnacentral:rRNA from 1 species
CCUACGGGAGGCAGCAGUGGGGAAUAUUGGACAAUGGGCGCAAGCCUGAUCCAGCCAUGCCGCGUGUGUGAAGAAGGCCUUCGGGUUGUAAAGCACUUUUAUCCGGAAAGAAAAGCUUUGGGUUAAUACCCUGAAGUCAUGACGGUACCGGAAGAAUAAGCACCGGCUAACUUCGUACCAGCAGCCGCGGUAAUACGAAGGGUGCAAGCGUUACUCGGAAUUACUGGGCGUAAAGCGUGCGUAGGUGGUUUGUUAAGUCUGAUGUGAAAGCCCUAGGCUCAACCUGGGAAUUGCAUUGGAUACUGGCAGGCUAGAGUGCGGUAGAGGAUAGUGGAAUUCCCGGUGUAGCAGUGAAAUGCGUAGAGAUCGGGAGGAACAUCUGUGGCGAAGGCGACUAUCUGGGCCAGCACUGACACUGAGGCACGAAAGCGUGGGGAGCAAACAGGAUUAGAUACCCUGGUAGUCCACGCCCUAAACGAUGCGAACUGGAUGUUGGGUGCAACUAGGCACUCAGUAUCGAAGCUAACGCGUUAAGUUCGCCGCCUGGGGAGUCGGUCGCAAGCUGAAACUCAAAGAUUGACGGCNGAGAGAGCGACGACGACGACGAGGGAGGAGG